GGUGUAGAUUAAUCCUACGUUACGGCCGUAGGCUAGGUUUGUAGCCCUACGCUU
rnacentral:tRNA from 1 species